rnacentral:tRNA from 1 species
GGCGGUCAGGGCCGCCGGCUGCGCGGCCAGCGCGUUGGUGAUGCGAUUCAGCCAAUGGGCGUUCAUGCCCUCGGCCACCGC